AAUCUCAGUUCAGACUGCAGGCUGCAACUCGCCUGCACGAAGUCGGAAUUGCUAGUAAUCGUAGGUCAGCAUACUACGGUGAAUACGUUCCCGGGCCUUGUACACACCGCCCGUCAAACCAUGAGAGUUGGCAACACCCGAAGCCGGUGACCAAACCAAUAAGGAAGGAGCCGUCGAAGGCAGGUCUGAUGACUGGGGUGAAGUCGUAACAAGGUACC
rnacentral:rRNA from 1 species